UCUACCAUGUCUUGCUCAUCCGUCCAUCCAUCGGUGGCAGCUGGGUGACUCCCACAUUUAAGUCCUUGUGACUGGUACCGCUCUGAACAUGGGUGUACAAGUAUCUCUCGAAGACCUGCUUUCAGUUCUUUGCGUGUGGACACAGAAGUGGGACCGCUGGAUCCUGUAGUCGUCCUUCGGCUUCUCCCGUCCCAGGGCUCCAGUCGAGUACCAGCCAGCCUGGCUUCCUUGCAUCCUGUGCCUCCCCUGUCCUGGCAAACGGAGUUUCCACACUCAUCCUUGCAGCCUGUCUCCACUGGUGCUCAGCUCGGCCGCGUGGGAUCCGUGAGUAAGGACAGCGCUCCGCUCGGCCGCGUGGGAUCUGCCACCGACGGAAUGGCCGUGGGUCCCUCCGUUGUCCCUCACUCCGGCUCGGUCUCGCCGGCUCUUCAUUCACCUUUACGGUGGCUGACGUGUGUAUGGAGAUUCUGCCGCUCCUACCGAACACGCGGAGAUGCUCACCAUCUGGGAUCAUCUGCUUGCAGGUCUGAGGCUCGAGAACUUCCGGGCCACCCAGAACGGGGGCACCGCUGCACAAUCUAUGAUGCUGUGUCCCCACUUCACCCUCGGGGCCCUGGACCACGUGCUGGAUCUGUACGUGUGCCCGGACGCCCCUUCUGUUCCCCUAGCUCCCAUCCUUCCAGGUUCUCAAAGCACAGCUCAGCCCCUCCGCCAUGUCUCUGAGGCGGCGUUUAGGGCCUUCCCUCCCUGCUGCGUUCCCCACCUGUCUUGUUGGCCCUUUGAUGCUCUUUUGGUAUUUUCUGUUUUUCUCCCAGCUUUUAAAACUUGUAGCGGAAGUGCUGGCGUGGGACAUCUGGUCCACGUUACCCAAGGCAGGGUCUCCCACUCACAGAGGCCUAGUCCGGAACCUCGUGCGCGGGACAACCUCACCGCUAGACUUCCCUCAGUUCACACGGGCAGCAGGACGAGCCAGAGCGGGCGAUGGGGACUGGUGGCAUGCAGCCCUUCCCGGCCCUGAGCCCCGCCUGAGGCUCGACCAGCCUCCCUUCACCUUCAACGUCUAACACCUCUGCCAACUGAACCCAACGGCCACGUCUCCAAAUCUCGCUUUGUAAAAAGCCCUAGAACCAAGCUGUCUUCAGCCAGCCUCCUCUCCCUUAGAAAACAAACUCCAGGGGCGCCUGGGUGGCACAGCGGUUGAGCGUCUGCCUUCAGCUCAGGGCGUGAUCCCGGU